rnacentral:rRNA from 1 species
UACGGAGGGUGCAAGCGUUGUUCGGAAUUACUGGGCGUAAAGAGCGUGUAGGCGGCUGAAUAAGUCAGAUGUGAAAUCCCUGGGCUUAACCCAGGACGUGCAUUUGAAACUAUUCAGCUUGAGUAGGGGAGAGGAAAGUGGAAUUCCUGGUGUAGAGGUGAAAUUCGUAGAUAUCAGGAGGAACACCGGUGGCGGAGGCGACUUUCUGGCCCUAUACUGACGCUGAGACGCGAGAGCGUGGGUAGCAAACAGG